GCCAGGAUCCACCUCUUCCCAGACCUCGUUUAAGGUUUGGUAGUGGAGGUGAGGGUAUUUGUUGCUGGAGAUCCCUGCCUACUUUGGCUCUUCUAAAGAGGAAGUGAACAGCAUCAGUGCCAUCAUAAGUCUUUGAAGCACUCCUGAAGUAAAUCUGCCUCCAGUCCAGAGGAAAUGAUGCUGUAUUCUGUUAUUUGCACAACUACCUUUUCCAUUAAUCGUCUUUGGUCCUUGGGAUGGAGAAAAAUGAAAAUUUCCUUAAAGAAACAGCUGUGUCCUGCCUGCAGCCUGAAGAAGAAUGGCAUUAGUCACAUGCAGUUCAACACGUAGCACAAUUGUAAAGUUCACUCUAUGAGACUGACAGGAGCUAUUCACAUCAGCCCCCUCCACCAUCUGCCUGAAUGGCAGCGGCUGUGGGGUGGUGACAGCCCCCCUGCCUGCCCCAGUGCUUGGGGACAGACUCUGAGUUGGCCCCAUGUGUGGUAAAUCGGGGGUUGAAAGCAACGGGAGGAUGUCACUCAGGUCAAAGCAGAUUGUCCAGAGAAAAAAGUGGGGAGGGAAGAGUCAAAGCUAGUGGGAGUACCAAUUUGCUGUUCUCCUGGGGAAAAGGUGUUGGCUCCAAUAUGGUGAGAAGCAAAGAGAACAGCUGAGUCUGGGGCAAAAUCCUAUAUCUUCCUCCUUCCUCACUUCCUGACCUUGGAUUUAGGGACAGGUUCUGAGUCCAGAGGGCAACCUGCUGGAGGAUUGAAUGCAGUCAGUGUCCCCUCUUGGUAUGCUUCAGGGUCCCUCCUGUAGUCUACGAAGGUCAGACUGGAUGAAGGAGUGAGGUUCAUUUUCAUCCUGUCACCUGUUUUUUCUUGUUUCCAGAUGGUGACUUCUCAAAACACAAAUUCCUGCUAUCAAACCCUGGGGCAUGUGGCCCAGCAUCCUUAAAAUCCUUUCCUCUCCAAUAGCAGUAGUUCUUAACGUCACCAAAUUCCUGCAGUAUGAUGUUAAGCAUCAUCUCCCACUUUUACGCCACUGGCACAUCAUUAACAUUAAUCUCCUUUUUUCUCCUCACCUCUCCAAAACACAAUGAACUGAAAUCUUUGAAUUUCUAAAGAAAUCUUUCCUACAAUUUCUAAGCUUUGUUUUUAAGUAGAAAUCUGUUUACUACUUUUUUUUUUUUUUUUUUUUAAUAAAUGGAGGUUGCCUAGUUUUAACUUGCAUAAGGAAAAGAUGAGAAGAACAGUGCUUGGCAUAUGGACAUAUCCCAGACAAAAGAAUACUGGUCCCAAAUCAGGGAGGGCAAGAAGCUCAUUUUAACCCAGCCCGGAAAGUAUACUGGCACUGCAGUAUGCAGCGGAGUUAUACUGACAGCAGGGUGAGCCCUGUGACAAUGUUUAUUCAAGUUAAGACGGAGAAAAAGUGCUCUUUUUAGGAGAGAAAAAAGCAUUUUGUGUAAGCCAGUGCCAGAACAGUGAUUUUUGCAUCACCUCUGUGCUACUCAGAUUUUCAUUAACUGCUCUUUGCUUUAGUGAUCAUUACAAUAGUAGCAGUGAUUGGAGUAUUUGUGUUAUCUCAGCUGCCCAGUGCACUUACUGCACUGCCUCCUCUCUUAAUGGUUUGCAUUACUGGAUCUGCUCAUGCAGUCCUGGAAUGAUGCUGAUGUUGGAAUAUCUGUGCUGCACGAGUCCCUGAGAGUAGAAAUAAGCUGGAAGAGGUUCUGGGGUAGAACUGGCUAAAUUGUGAUACCAGUUACAAUGAGUGACGUUUUUAAAACACUUCUUGGGUAUUUCUGUGGAAGAAAAUAAUUUUUCAGAGUUUCUGCAUGUUUGGGAAAAGCAUAACUGCAUCCUUUUAGUGAAUGGGUUUACUCCUGUGCUUCACUUAGAAAAAGGAGUUAGGAAAUUUCACAUACCAAAAAUUCCCAAGAAGACAGCUGUCGGGAGGUGACAUGUCAGAUAUGAAGUGGCUCUCCAGCUGGUCCCUGUCUGCAUGCUGGGAAGGCAUGUGGAGACAUUUUUUCAAUUGCUGUACUAGUUUGACACGUUCACAGUGGAAAAUGAUGUAUCAUUCUUGAGCCUUUGGUUGGUGGACACUUCAAAGUGCACUGGAUCCUCAGAGAGGAGUGCCCUAUUGUUAAUUGUUCCUUUCACAUGUACAUUGGGAUGAACAUGGUGAGAGCAGUGAGGAACAAAAGGGCUCCGGUGGUCUCUUAGGGAAAACCCUGUGCAGCUCAACCUGAGUCUGACCUUGAAAGGGUGGGUUGCUCUGCUUCUUAAAUCCUGCUUGCUGGUUCAUUCCUCUUUAGCUCCCUGCCGUUACCCAGCUGCAGGAGAAAGGGAUGCUGGAGCGGCAAGUGUGGUGAGGCAUGGGAAGCUGCCACGUGGUGGCCAAGGAGCUGUGACCAAGGCAAGUGGUCCUCCUGGAAGGCACAGGCAUAGAUGGGCGUUUGGAGAGAGCUUCAGUGGUGUGGGAGGAGUGCUGGGUUCUCCAUACACACAGCCACAAAUCCCCUUUCUUUCCUGUAAAUCCCCUAUAAUUGAUUGUUGGACACCCAGUAUAUGACAUGAGUUUCUUAGGCCUCUGAGGACGUGGUUCAUUAACAUCCUCAGAAACUCCUUUGCUACCAGGCACCUGUCCCACAUCUCUCUUUAUCUUCCUUCCCUGGACAUACCACUUGGGGAUACAGUGUACAUGUUGUCCAGGGUGUGGUCAAAUGCUCAAACACAGCAGGAAAUUUGUUCCUCCAGAGAUGUGAAGCCUUGAUGUGCAUCUUGUCAAUUGUGCUAGAAAAAACUUCUCUCUGUAAACUCAGCUGCAGAAAAAGGACCUGUGUCAAGCUACAAAGAGGCCAGGCCCCAGCUAGUGUAUCCCAAAAUAGAUGCUUGAGCAGAUGACUGGAAACUCACCCCCACAAUCUUACUGGAGAAGAUUGCAUGGAGACGUGAGGCAGAUGAUGUGGUUAGCUGCACUAGGUCUCCUGGGAAGGAGCUGCUUUUGGAAUAGAAACUGUGAGAAGAUAAGCCCCAGUGCCUCCAGCACUGUAAGUAAGGGCAAAGCUGCCCCUCACUCUGCUGAUAUAAUCCCAUCUCACACAGCACAGAGGUGCCUUUAAGGCUUUCUACCUUGCCAUCAGAUUGCAACCCACUGCAGUAGUGCAAAGGCUCUGUGGCAUCUUCUGCUGUGCAGUGUCCUAGCCCAAGGUCUCUCCAGAUCUGCAGCACCUGAGUACUGAAAUAUAUGGCUUGGGUUGGACUGGGAGAAAUGGUGUGAAAAUGGGGUGGCAGCGCUGAGCAUGCUGGCAUAGGAAGACUUGAGGAGUCCUCAGCCCAGCAUACAGUGGUACAGUCUAGAUCUUGUCCUUCUCUAAAGAAAGCUGGAUUAAAAGAAAUAAAUGCAAAAUAUUGCAUCUGUCAGCUCUCAGACCUUCAGUGCCUUACGUUGGCAAAGAAGAUUUUACUUGCAAAAUGAGAGAUAGCUUGGACUUCAGUCCCUGCUUUCCCAGGGCUGGUAGUCUCUUUCUGGCUGUGGGCAUGCUUACCCUGCCACUGUCCCUCUCCUCCCAUCCCUGGGGUGUUGCAGGCAGUGGAUCCCAGGCUGGUACAUGGGGCAGCAGCCGGCUCCACAUCACCCACGUAUACCAAAGGCAGCCCUCCUGCUCUCCUAUUCCCCUAGCUCCCAGUUUUGCUUUGCUAUUAAGUUAUUGCUACCCCUCAGGGACAAGCCUGCACGAAGGCAGAGGGCUCACAUAGCUAUGCAUCAGUAAAGGAAGCAGCUCAAUUAGCAUUUCACACGCCUUUUCUUCCCUCUCUUCUUACCUUCCCUGCAGCGGGCAUGCUUUCCCCUUAAAGGAUUGUCCUGUUUCUGCUCCUUGCCAGCGUUGGCAGGGUGACAGUA